AUGGAAACGACGCUGUACGCUCAAACUGAUGCGGCGUUUAACAUACAAGGAUGCUACAAGGUCGACGUCAGCAAUCGCAUCUUUGUGACGUCAGCUGGUGACUAUGACCCGGACGAUAUUGACCAUGAUACCUGCGCGGAUGCCUGUGCAGUCCUCGACUACCAGUAUGCCGCUCUUACAAUGGGUCGCUAUUGUCUGUGCAGUGACAAUACCUACUCCAGUUCCAUAGUGAGCACCUGUGACCGCACAUGCAGCGGUGACGUCUCUCAGGAGUGCGGGGGAGCCGAGAGCGACACGGUACUCAGCAUCGUCCUGACGCGCGCAGCGGUGCAGCUCAACAGCACCAGUGACGUCUUCGUUGUUGGGCAACCUCGGUCCCUUCAACCCGACGUCACAGGAGCUUCAGUGACAACGUCGUUCGACUAUGGUGACGGAUCGCAUGCUACGGCUGACGACGCAGUGGUGACAAUGAAUCACGUGUAUGCAGUCCCCGGUCAAUAUGUUGCGAGCAUCUUUGCUAAGAACAGCUACUCGAGUGCCUUCGCCGGUGCGCAAAUCACUGCCUACAUGGGUAUUACCGAUGUCCAGAUGGAUUGCCCGGAGGUAGUCGAACCAUCGACAUCGUUCACCUGCUCGAUCACCGUUACCGACGGUUCUGAUAUGACCCUGUCGACGAACAUCGGAAGUUCAUACCACAUUGGGACACCAAAUACCUUCUCGAUAGGAACUGUCUCGCAACAUGCCCUGUCCACCCUACAAAGUGACGCCGUUUUAUCAGACACCGUAUGGAUCUUACCGGGCCAGGAGUUUCUUGAUAAUGGGGUCAUCCGAUCGGUGGAGGUCAACGUGGAAGCUAUCGGGACGAUUAACUUUCUGAUCCUAGAACCCUUCUGCAGCGGCGCAGGUGAAACCUACUGCCUAACUGACAACCAGUGCACGACGUCACAAUGUGGCUACGAUUCCUCGAUGCCGACCAAUCCCUUGUAUCAUACCUACUGUGAUUCGUCCACGCACGUCUUCUGUUUAUCCGAACACCGUUGCGCAUCGAAAUCCGACGAGUCCACCUGCGAUGCAGAACCGGACCGGUACGCUUCAUCCACGGGCGACGCUAGUCGUGCAAGCUACAGGGUCAGACACGUCAUUACCAAGACAGCUACCACUACCGGUUACAACUACUUCGAGAUACCCUUCGCAGACAGAACCGCAACUGCAGAAAUCGGAGAUGUCUUAGGCUACGCGGUUAGUACAGGGACCGCUAUAAUUAGGUAUGAAACUGCGGAUACCGAUGAAGCGGUGGCGUUCAGUCUAGCGACGUCGAUACCCGUGGCAGGGACGCCGUACUCCUCCGGCUUUACCGCAGAAGCAAAGAGGUUCCAUAUUCGGUUGACCGCUAUUGAUCCCAUUUCUGUCAUUCUGGAGCACGUAUACCCUAAUAUCGGAACGAACAACAUCUCAGUGACAGUAAACAACACACUGGACUCUGCAGGUAUCACGGCUGAAAGUGUGGUCGAGGUACAGAUCCCCAUUCUCAAUCUGGAGAUAACUCUCACCCCGGACCAGCCGUACUUUGCGAGAGAGGCUAACAUCUCAAUGACACUAUCGGUCGAUUCAGGGGAUCCCAUAGACUUGGAAAUCGACUGGGGAGAUGGAGAAACAAACGUGUCUGCUGGCUUAUCGGCUCUACCGGUAUUCAACCAUUUCUACGAUGACUCUAACGGCUUAGUCACUAUUACGGUCACCGCAUCUAAUCUCCAUGGAAACGAGACAGCAUCCAAAACCAUCUACAUCCAAAAUCCUGUACUCGAGGAGCACUAUAGAAUCCUGCCGGACACUCCCGCUUCCCACCCUUAUCCCAGUCCUGAGCAGGGUUACAUCAACAUAACGGUAGAGCUUCUCGCGUCGAACGGCAAACCUUACGGCACGGACGCAAACAUCUCCUUCAGUAGCAGUUACUAUGACAAUAGUACCCAUGUGAUGACUCUCUCCAACGAGGGGGACCAUGAGAGUUACGCCCAUCCGGUCCAGUUUCCAGGCAUCUUUACUGUCCUCGUGACUAUAAAAAAUCUUGUUGCGACAAUCACACUCGAAGUUGAGGUUAAACUGUACGGCAUAAUCUCCUCAGACAUCCAUUUGGACGUCUUCUACCAACCGGAAAUACCCCCUGACGGUGAUCCUAUUGCGGAUUACGGAGACAACUAUCCGCUGGAGAGACCGAUCGUUUUCAAACCAGUGUAUUCGUCAGGAACUAAUAUCACAUUCGAAUAUCUGGAGUUUGGUGACAGUGCUUCGGUGCCUAGAAAUACAACUGAAGAUACUCUCUCACGCCAAUAUACAGAGCCUGGAGAACACACCGUAAGAGUUGCUGCGAGCAAUCCAGUAAGCGAACGUUACACCAUCAGUGCCACAUUCCAACUUUUUAGGACAAUCCAUUCAAUAGACGUAUCAACAGGGGUGAUCACCAUUCCAAACCAGCCCAAGAACUUCACCAUCACCAUCGGCCAGAUCGGAUACAACUCGUGCUUGGCCAUUGACUACGGCGACCACCAGACACCCAUCAUGUACGGUGAAACGGUGUGCGAGGGGCAUUGGAAGUCAUCCACGGCGGACUACAUAGGUCCUCUUACCAAUACCAUCAAUCUUGUGCAUACGUACGCCGACAACGGCAGUUACGUUUUCGCCGUGCACGGUUUCAAUCUCGUCACCGAUAUCGUCAUCGAGGAACCCUUCGCUGUGACGUACCUUGAGUGCAACGUGCCAGAAGUAGCCUUCAGCGAAGAUUACUCACAAUGGAUGGACCCGAGAGGAGUAGAGACCUACGACUAUGUUCCUCUCAAAACUACGACCACGAUCCGUUGUAAAAUCAAUGACAACUUCAAGGAAUGGUCAGUGCGGGAAUUCAACAGCACCAGUGGCGAACUCAUUCCGGGGCUCUCUCUGAAUCUCACGGAUCUUGACCCGACUGACGCCUUCUACGUCGGCGAAGCUAACACAGCCGAUAUCAAGCUGAACGCCUAUACAUACCCGCCAGGGUACUACCGCAUAAGCUAUUGUGUCACCAUGGACAGCAGUAAGCUAGAUGGUGUUGUCUUCACGGCGUGUGCUCGAGAGUACAUUCAUGUUUUGUCUUUCAGUCUGGAAGCUAAGGUCGUUGACGGACAACUGUCUUCAACUACAAUUGGUCACGGACAGAACUUCAACUUGAAUCCCGGGCUCUAUUCUAAAGACCCUUCUUUGGACAGUUCGGUAACUGACCAGGGAAUCAGUGUAUUCAAGUACUACUGCAAGCGUUUUUAUGAGGAAUUUCGACUCAACAAUGACAAGACCCUUGUUGACACACCAGUGGAUAUAACAGGCGAUGGGGGCUCUGAGGGAGGGUGCUUUGGCACUGGUCCCGGUAGACUGAAUUACGACCAAAGCAGUCUUAACCUCAACACCGGGUGGAUGGACUAUAACAUGACCUAUGACAUGAAGGUGGUCAUCGAGAAAGGAACUAUUUCCGGUGAGGUCGCGUUCGAGCUAAAGAUUGUCAGCGGGGAUCCCCCUCAACCCGUCAUAAGUUUAGCCCAGGGAACGCCAUUCACGCCCGAGUCAAACUCGGUCAAGAUCAACCCUUCGGCUGACCUUCGCUUAAGAUCGGACUGUGUCGUUGAUUGCGACGGUGUGAUUUACCGAUGGGAGGUGUAUGUUACUAACGGGACACAUACAAUGCCCUUACCGGACUUGGAGAGCUAUGCGACAGGUGUAAAUACUGAUGCAAUUUUCAUCAAGCAAGCGGCGUUCAGCCGACAGUCAUCAGGAACGAGCUUUGUAAUUCGGCUUUCGGCUACCAACACCGGGGGCGUCGAGGGCAUCACAGAGAUCGAAGCUCAAUUGAACACACUCCCGACAGGGAAUGGCUGCGACGUCGAUUCUCGAUCCAUCGAUCUCGGCGACUCCGUGUACAUUGCAUGCAUGGACUGGGAAGAUGAAGACGGCAUAUCGUCAUACGAAUUCUAUGCUGUUGAUGACGGUAGCAAUCAACUGCUGUAUACGGGUAGCCGAUCGAGCACUUUGGUGCCGCUCCCGGUCGGUAAAGUAAACAACACCAUUGGAAUCUCAGUCGUCAUAUCAGACCGUUAUGGUGCGUCAGUGACAGUCGAUGCGGGAAAUGUCUAUGUGGAUCCUGGAGAGAUAGUCGAGACUAUUCUUGCAGAUGAUACUGUGACAUCAUUAUUAGACGAUUACGAUAAACUCCAGGCUGAAGGCAGCUUAGUGAGUGUCACCGAAAAAGCUACGAUUGAUAUUUCAGCCCUGAAUCUUGAAAGAACUUUCACAAAUACUCUAAUCGAUGGACAAAUUGAAACACACUCGGGGAAUCUGGGGACAGAAAACAUUACCGUCACAGAGCAGCUGAGAAGCAAGAUAGCUUCGGUUCAAGCUACAAUGACUGUCAAUUCUUUAGAAGACGCUCAGAUAUUGGCCGGAUCUGCAUUAGAACUCUCACUCUAUACUAAUGAACUGUCUCAAGGUGCAUUGACCUCGCUCAAUACUGUAGCUGAAAACAUAUUGGAUGUCACUGAAGAACUACAGGACACCGUGUCAACAGAAACACUGGGCGCAACCACCUCUCUGCUGCUAGGACUUAUGGGAAAUAUACUUCAGGGGUCAGCGUUGAGUGUCCAGGACUCCUUACCGAUCCUAGAUGAAUUUGAGAGCUCAGACGGUGACCAAACCUUCAGUUCCCUUCAAGAUUCAAUCAGUGCAGCUACUUCUAGUGGUCGUGCAGUGGUAACUGAAGCCAGAAAUAAGAUGAAAGCCAUCAAGAAGCUCCUGGGACGGAACACCCUACCCCGGGAGCCUGCUGUUUCCAUUCACACAGACACAAUUUCAAUGACGUACGUAAAGAACACCUGUAGCGAUCUGGCCGAUCGUGGUGUCAAUGAAGACUCCGGGAGCGUCUUCCUCCCCUCGUUGACCGAGCUCGUCGAUGAUCCCGAGGCAAUCUGCGGUAACGAUGCCAUCAUUUCGCGAGAGGUAAUGGCAUGA